GUUAUAUGGUCAAGCGAAUAAGCGUAUAUGGUGGAUGCCUAGGCAGUUAGAGGCGAUGAAGGACGUUGUAGUCUGCGAUAAGCUCGGGCGAGCUGACAAACAAGCACUUGUAACCCGAGAUUUCCGAAUGGGGAAACCCGGCCCUUUGGGUCAUCGUGCACUGAAUACAUAGGUGCACGAAGCGAACCCGGUGAACUGAACCAUCUAAGUAACCGGAGGAAAAGAAAUCAACCGAGAUUCCCUUAGUAGCGGCGAGCGAAAGGGGAACAGCCAGCAAUCUUUAUGUUUUAUGUUAGGGGAACGGUCUGGAAAGUCCGGCGAUAGAAGGUGAUAGCCCUGUACCCGAAAACAUUUAACAAGAACUAAGUUUGCAACAAGUAGGUCGGAGCACGAGAAACUCUGACUGAACAUGGGGGGACCAUCCUCCAAGGCUAAAUACUCCUAACUGACCGAUAGUGAACUAGUACCGUGAGGGAAAGGCGAAAAGAACCCCGGAGAGGGGAGUGAAAUAGAUCCUGAAACCGUAUACGUACAAGCAGUAGGAGCACCUUCGUGGUGUGACUGCGUACCUUUUGUAUAAUGGGUCAGCGACUUAAGUUCAGUAGCAAGCUUAACCGUUUAGGGGAGGCGUAGGGAAACCGAGUCUUAAUAGGGCGAUUUAGUUGCUGGGCUUAGACCCGAAACCAGGCGAUCUAUCCAUGGCCAGUGUGAAGGUUGAGUAACAUCAACUGGAGGCGCGAACCCACCUAUGUUGAAAAAUGGGGGGAUGAGCUGUGGAUCGGAGUGAAAGGCUAAUCAAGCCUGGAGAUAGCUGGUUCUCCGCGAAAUCUAUUUAGGUAGAGCGUCAUGUAUCACCAUAGGGGGUAGAGCACUGUCUCGGCUAGGGGCCCAUCCCGGGUUACCAACUCGAUGCAAACUCCGAAUACCUAUGAGUGCAAUCAUGGCAGACACACGGCGGGUGCUAACGUCCGUCGUGGAGAGGGAAACAACCCAGACCGCCAGCUAAGGUCCCCAAAUCACAGUUAAGUGGGAAACGAUGUGGGAAGGCACAGACAGCUAGGAGGUUGGCUUAGAAGCAGCCAUCCUUUAAAGAAAGCGUAAUAGCUCACUAGUCGAGUCGGCCUGCGCGGAAGAUUUAACGGGGCUCAAACUGUGUACCGAAGCUGCGGGUGCUCCUUUUCUUCGGAAAGGGGGCGCGGUAGCGGAGCGUUCUGUAAGCCGUUGAAGGUGUGCUGUAAGGCAUGCUGGAGGUAUCAGAAGUGCGAAUGCUGACAUGAGUAACGAUAAGGGGGGUGAAAAACCCCCCCGCCGGAAGACCAAGGUUUCCUGCGCAACGCUAAU
rnacentral:rRNA from 1 species